CUAAAACUGUAUUUAUAUGUUAAGUAUGUUAAUUUCCAUUUUUCUGUAGAAUUUGGAGCUAAAACCCAGUUUGAUACCUUGUUCUCGUUAAUUUUACUUAGUCAAAUUGAUUGCUUUCUUAGUCUCCUAAUCUACUGUGAGAUGCAUGAAGGGUUGGCAAAAUCUGGAAUUCAUUUUGGGAUUUUGACCUGUAGUUAAUCCGUAGUGUGAUUCAGUUCACCAAUAAAGAUUUUCAGUGCUGAUAUAAGGGUGAAGGAAACUUGAUUAGAUUGAUUAAUUUUUCUGGUUAAUAUAUGUUGCAAGCCAUAACGAGCCACUUUGAGUUGAGCAUUGAUAGGUUGCAUCUUCUAGGCAAAGAAUUAGUCUUCUUGUGCCAUGCUGGGUUCUCACAAAAUGUUGUCUCUAAUCGUGUGUUUUUGUUUCCCUUUUUUGGGAGGUUAUAAACUUAUUAAGUAUUUUGGUAUCUUUUGCACAUUUCUAAAUAACACUAGUUGCAUCAAUGCUUGCAUUUUAGGCUUUUAAAAACAUAAAUCCUAAAAGGAAUAGGAAAAGAGAAAAAAAAAAAUCCUAAAGAAUGUAGAAAAGGGAUCCUAAACAGCCUAGGAAUAGGAUUUGACUAAGUUUUCUGGGUUGUAUAUUGUUCCUGUGUCAGUGAGCUGGGGCAGAAAGGUUAUCAUGUUAUUCUUAAUGGGUGUGGUGUAUGUGUGUUACCAUUUCUUGAGUUUUGGUGAUUGCUAUAUUGGUUAGUGCAUUUUCUGCUAAGCACUUGGCAUCUUUGCUUGGCUAAACCUUAGCCCAAUGUUUCAAACAUUCUAACUUGUUUAGUUUAUAUAUUUAUUCUUUUGUCUACUUUAUUCCAUAUAGGAUGGUGUCAUUCUCGGAGCGG
rnacentral:misc_RNA from 1 species